UCCUGCUGGCUGUUUUAUGGCGUCUUCUGGGACAGAAAAGUUUGACAAAGUCCCCCUUUCCACUUUGGGAUAUUCUCCUGUUUUUGCAGCUGAGUGUGAAGCGGCUGAGAUGAGGAUCAUCACCUUUAAAUCUGAGGCCAUUGUUCUCAGCAGUAACUGAUGGAUUGCCUACUCUGGGUUGGGAAUGUGGUCUUGGCCUAAGUGAAGGAGUUCAAGUACCUCGGGGUAUUAUUUACAAGUGAGGGGACAAUGGAGCGUGAGAAUGGCUGGAGAAUCAGCGCAGCAGAGGCAGUACUGCAUUCACUCUACCGUACUGUUAUUACGGAAAGGGAGCUGAGACAAAAGGCGAAGUUCUCGAUGUACUGGUCAAUCCUUGUUACUACUCUCACCUAUGGUCAUGAGAGUUGGAACAUGACCGAAAUAACUAUAUCGCGGGUACAAGCGGCUGAAAUGGGCUUCCUUAGGAAGGUGGCUGGUGUCUCCCUUAGAGAUAGGGUGAGAAGCUUGGUCAUCCGUGGGGAGCUCGGAGUAGAGCUGCUGCUCCUUCGCAUUGAAAGGAGCCAGCUGAAGUGGUUCGGGCAUCUUGUAAGGAUGCCCCCUGGAUGUCUCCCUAGGGAGGUGUUCCAGGCACAUCCAUCUGGGAGGAGACUGAGUAAGACCCACGACUAGGUGGACAGAUUAUAUCUCCACACUGACCUGGAAACACCUCGGUAUCCCCCAGUCAGAGGUGGACAGGGUAGCCCGGGAAAGGGAAGUAUGGGGUCUCCUGCUAGAGCUGUUGCCCCCGCGACCCGAUCCCAGAUAGGCGGUUGAAGAUUAGUGAUGAGUAUAGUCUGUGUGAUUCUUUGUUCUCCUACUCCUCCAAGGUCCUUUGGCCAAUUUCCACCAAACGUACAAAGUGGAUGAAGGCUAACCCAGAAUGGCCUUCAAAGGUUCUGUUUCGCUCAGGUCAGUGUUCAAAUCCCCCCCAACACACACACUCAAAUUUAUAAUGUGGCAAAUAUAUGUAGGUGAGUAUCAUACCUGCCCAUGCAAGGUCAGCCAAAGCUCAGAGGUCAGCCUACCCACCACCAUGGACAUACACGCAAGAUAAAGGCUUCCAGCAUCAAGAAAAGAACCCACCCACCCAGCAAGGAUAAUGUUCGUUCCUCUUCUUUCAGGAAGGAGGCUUUGGAGCAUCAGGUACAGAGCCAUCAGAUUGAGGAACAGCUUCUUCCCAGAGACUGUGAGGCUGUUGAGUUCUGGUAGAGCACCAGGUGCACAUCUGUUAAUACUUUUUACACAAUAAUUCUGUCAUGCUGCUCAUUCCUGCUGUAGUGCUUUUUAAUCUUUAUCUCAUUUAUAUUUCCCCAAGUCUGUUUUUUUUUAUCGAUUAUUAAACCCCAAGAUAUUUUUGAAAUACAAUUUCAUAUCAUAUUAUGUGAAAACAUACCAGUAUAUGGUAUGACAAAGAAUCCUUGAAUCCUCAAUUAUUCAUGUAAAUGUCAAGCUCAUUGGGUCAAAGGCCAAAAGUGUAAAAAUAAAAGUUUUUAUUCUGAUUUGCACCAGACACGGUGUACUUAUGUAGUUGGAUACCUGAGAUGCCCAGGUGAGCUCAACCAGAAAUCAAUAAUUCAGGCGAACUUUAAAUUCA